rnacentral:rRNA from 1 species
AUUGAACGCUGGCGGCAUGCCUUACACAUGCAAGUCGAACGGCAGCACGGGUGCUUGCACCUGGUGGCGAGUGGCGAACGGGUGAGUAAUACAUCGGAACGUACCUUAUCGUGGGGGAUAACGCAGCGAGAGCUGUGCUAAUACCGCAUACGCCCCGAGGGGGAAAGCGGGGGAUCGCAAGACCUCGCGCGAUUAGAGCGGCCGAUGCCUGAUUAGCUUGUUGGUGGGGUAAAAGCCCACCAAGGCGACGAUCAGUAGCUGGUCUGAGAGGACGAUCAGCCACACUGGGACUGAGACACGGCCCAGACUCCUACGGGAGGCAGCAGUGGGGAAUUUUGGACAAUGGGGGCAACCCUGAUCCAGCAAUGCCGCGUGAGUGAAGAAGGCCUUCGGGUUGUAAAGCUCUUUUGUCAGGGAAGAAACACCGGCUCUAACACAGUCCGGGAAUGACGGUACCUGAAGAAUAAGCACGGGCUAACUACGUGCCAGCCGCCGCGAUAA